rnacentral:misc_RNA from 1 species
GAUGAAGAACGUAGCGAAACGCGAAAUGUAAUGUGAAUUGCAGAACCUCCAGUGAAUCAUCGAAUCUUUGAACGCAUCUUGCGCCCCGUGGCAUUCCGCGGGGCAUGUCUGUUUGAGUGUCGUUUGACCUCUCAACCGCUUUGGUAUUCGAUUACAAAAGUAGGCUUGGAACUUGGGUGCUUCUGGCGAAACGCAAAAGGGCUCCGCGCCCUGUCGCCCACCCCAAAGUCAGUUGGGCCAACCGCGCGGAUGAGCGGACGGUUUGACCACAGUGUUGUAAGGUUCGCCUCACUGUUGGGACGUCCAUUUCCGUCGCAUAUAGGCAUUUGAAAUACGAUACUAUUGAUUUUGACCUCAAAUCAGACAGGAUUACCCGCUGAACUUAAGCAUAUCAAUAAGCGGAGGA